rnacentral:rRNA from 1 species
UACGGGAGGCAGCAGUGGGGAAUAUUGCACAAUGGGCGCAAGCCUGAUGCAGCCAUGCCGCGUGUAUGAAAAAGGCCUUCGGGUUGUAAAGUACUUUCAGUCGUGAGGAAGGUGUUAAGGUUAAUAACCUUAGCAAUUGACGUUAGCGACAGAAGAAGCACCGGCUAACUCCGUGCCAGCAGCCGCGGUAAUACGGAGGGUGCGAGCGUUAAUCGGAAUUACUGGGCGUAAAGGGCACGCAGGCGGUUAAUUAAGUUGGAUGUGAAAUCCCCGGGCUUAACCUGGGAAUGGCAUUCAAGACUGGUUAGCUAGAGUCUUGUAGAGGGGGUAGAAUUCCAUGUGUAGCGGUGAAAUGCGUAGAGAUGUGGAGGAAUACCGGUGGCGAAAGGCGGCCCCUGGACAAAGACUGACGCUCAUGUGCGAAAGCGUGGGGAGCAAAACGAGGGAUUAGAUACC